UACGAAGGGUGCAAGCGUUAAUCGGAAUUACUGGGCGUAAAGCGUGCGUAGGCGGUUAUUUAAGUCUGUUGUGAAAUCCCCGGGCUCAACCUGGGAAUGGCAAUGGAUACUGGAUAGCUAGAGUGUGAUAGAGGAUGGUGGAAUUCCCGGUGUAGCGGUGAAAUGCGUAGAGAUCGGGAGGAACAUCAGUGGCGAAGGCGGCCAUCUGGAUCAACACUGACGCUGAGGCACGAAAGCGUGGGGAGCAAACAGGGAU
rnacentral:rRNA from 1 species